UUCAGACAAAGAUACAGUUUGCCAAUUGAUUGCUCUACCAGGACUUGAACUGGUGGCAGCUCCACCAUUGAUUGCUCUACCAGGACUGUGUACUAACUUUACAAACACUAUAUCGGCUCUGCUGCAGAUGUCCCCACAUAUGUACAUUUGAAACCCAUUCAGAAAAUUGACCAUCACAUUGCAUAUAAUCUAAAUGUUAUACUACCGUGCCUUCAUUUAUUGUACUAGUCGAACUUCUUGGUAAUAAUUAACCUUCACUCUGGGCUUUCCAUAAAUCUUUUGCCUCCUGCACCGCUCUUGUUGGUGGUCCUGGAGACUCAGCAUCAGAUGGAUUAUGAUGACCAUCACAAAGUCACUAGAUUGGUUUUCUCCACUUGGUAUUAUCCAGAUAAUCUAUCAGCUCAAAUCAAAACCAGCUUCCGCAUUUAUAGCAUAGAGCAAUUUUGUUUCCAGUUGUUGUUUGCUCCUAUAAGGUGGAAGCUUUAGAAGAUUCAUACAAGUAGCUGAUGUUGGUAAACGAUCAAGAGCUUCUUCAGAAGCAUUGCCUGCAGCCCUCUGUAUGCAAAACAAUGGCUCAAGGUAUUUAAAUCCAAGAAGUGGUCCUCGCGAGCAACCAGUCACAAACUUCAAAAAUUUCUUCUGAUUUUCCAGUGAAAAGGCUUUGAGAACCUCCCAGAACAUCUCAAUGACAUAAUGCUC
rnacentral:misc_RNA from 1 species